rnacentral:rRNA from 1 species
AUUGCUUUAAGUAAUAAUUUAAAGUAGAACCUGCUCAAUGUUAAAACAUAAAUAGCUGCAGAUUCCUCUGUACUAAGGUAGCAUAAUCAUUAGCCUUCUAAUUUAAGGAUAGAAUGAAUGGUUAAACGAAGUAAACGCUGUUUCUGUGAUUAACCAAUUAAAUUUUAAUAAAAGUAAAAAUACUUUUUUUUAAAAAGAAAGACGACAAGACCCUAAUAAACUUCAAUUUAGCUGGGGCGGCAAAAUAAUAAAAACUUAUUCUAAGAAAUAUUAAUUCUAUUAUAAUUCACUAUAAAAUCAAGUUACUAUAGGGAUAACAGCGUUAUUUAAAUUUAAAGAUCUCAUUAAAAUUUAAUCUUACGACCUCGAUGUUGAAUUAAUUUUAACUUUAUAAAGCAAAAUUUAUAAAAGAAGGUCUGU